rnacentral:rRNA from 1 species
UACGUAGGGGGCUAGCGUUGUCCGGAAUCAUUGGGCGUAAAGCGCGCGUAGGCGGCCCGGUAAGUCCGCUGUGAAAGUCAAAGGCUCAACCUUUGAAUGUCAGCGGAUACUGCCGGGCUAGAGUCCGGAAGAGGCGAGUGGAAUUCCUGGUGUAGCGGUGGAAUGCGCAGAUAUCAGGAGGAACACCGGUGGCGAAGGCGGAUCUCUGGGCCAUUACUGACGCUGAGGAGCGAAAGCGUGGGGAGCGAACAGG